AGAGUUUGAUUCUGGCUCAGAACGAACGCUGGCAGCGUGGAUUAGGCAUGCAAGUCGAACGGGAACCUGGGUAUUCAAAGAGCAAUCUGAGGACGCCCGGGGGAGAGUGGCGGAAGGGUGAGGAACACGUGGGUAAUCUGCCCUUAAGUUGGGGAUAACUCCGCGAAAGCGAAGCUAAUACCGAAUGUGGUUUUCCGGCGCAUGUCGGAAGUACUGAAGACGGGGAUCCGCAAGGACCUGUCGCUUGAGGAGGAACCCGCGUCCUAUCAGCUAGUUGGUGGGGUAACGGCUCACCAAGGCUUUGACGGGUAGCUGGUCUGAGAGGAUGGUCAGCCACACUGGGACUGAGACACUGCCCAGACUCCUACGGGAGGCUGCAGUCGAGGAUCAUUUGCAAUGGGCGAAAGCCUGACAGUGCGACGCUGCGUGGAGGAUGACGGCCUUCGGGUUGUAAACUCCUGUCAUUCGGGAACAAUGGCGGGGCGGUGAAUAGUCGUUCCGCGUGAUGGUACCGGAAGAGGAAGCCACGGCUAACUCUGUGCCAGCAGCCGCGGUAAUACAGAGGUGGCGAGCGUUGUUCGGAUUUACUGGGCGUAAAGGGUGCGUAGGUGGUUCCGUACGUCGGAUGUGAAAGCCCACCGCUCAACGGUGGAAAGGCGCCCGAAACUGCGGGACUUGAGUGCAGGAGGGGAGAGCGGAAUUCUUGGUGUAGCGGUGAAAUGCGUUGAUAUCAAGAAGAAAGCCGGUGGCGAAGGCGGCUCUCUGGAAUGCAACUGACACUGAGGCACGAAAGCCGGGGGAGCAAACAGGAUUAGAUACCCUGGUAGUCCCGGCCCUAAACGGUGUGCACUUGGUGUGGGGGGAAUUGACCCCUCCCGUGCCGGAGCUAACGCGUUAAGUGCACCGCCUGGGGAGUACGGCCGCAAGGCUAAAACUCAAAGAAAUUGACGGGGGCCCGCACAAGCGGAGGAGCAUGUGGCUUAAUUCGAUGCAACGCGAAGAACCUUACCAGGGCUUGACAUGCAGCUGCACGUCCGCCGAAAGGUGGAAAGCCUUCGAGGGUGCUGCACAGGUGCUGCAUGGCUGUCGUCAGUUCGUGCCGUGAGGUGUUGAGUUAAGUCUCGCAACGAACGCAACCCUUGUGCUUAGUUGCCACCCCCGAUGAUGAGUCGGGGAGCACUCUAGGCAGACUGCCCGUGCAAGCGGGAGGAAGGUGGGGAUGACGUCAAGUCAGUAUGGCCUUUAUGCCCUGGGCUGCACACGUGCUACAAUGGGGGGAACAGAAGGACGCAAGACCGCGAGGUGGAGCAAAUCCUGAAACCCCUCCUCAGUUCAGAUUGAAGGCUGCAACUCGCCUUCAUGAAGUUGGAUUCGCUAGUAACGGCGCAUCAGCUACGGCGCCGUGAAUACGUUCCCGGGCCUUGUACACACCGCCCGUCACAUCAUGAAAGCCGUCUGCACCCGAAGUCGCCGCACGAACCCGAAAGGGACGGAGGCGCCUAAGGUGUGGGUGGUGAUUGGGAUGAAGUCGAAACAAGGUA
rnacentral:rRNA from 1 species